AAGACGGAAAGACCCCGUGAACCUUUACUAUAGCUUGACACUGAACAUUGAGCCUUGAUGUGUAGGAUAGGUGGGAGGCUUUGAAGUGUGGACGCCAGUCUGCAUGGAGCCGACCUUGAAAUACCACCCUUUAAUGUUUGAUGUUCUAACGUGGACCCGUAAUCCGGGUUGCGGACAGUGUCUGGUGGGUAGUUUGACUGGGGCGGUCUCCUCCUAAAGAGUAACGGAGGAGCACGAAGGUUGGCUAAUCCUGGUCGGACAUCAGGAGGUUAGUGCAAUGGCAUAAGCCAGCUUGACUGCGAGCGUGACGGCGCGAGCAGGUGCGAAAGCAGGUCAUAGUGAUCCGGUGGUUCUGAAUGGAAGGGCCAUCGCUCAACGGAUAAAAGGUACUCCGGGGAUAACAGGCUGAUACCGCCCAAGAGUUCAUAUCGACGGCGGUGUUUGGCACCUCGAUGUCGGCUCAUCACAUCCUGGGGCUGAAGUAGGUCCCAAGGGUAUGGCUGUUCGCCAUUUAAAGUGGUACGCGAGCUGGGUUUAGAACGUCGUGAGACAGUUCGGUCCCUAUCUGCCGUGGGCGCUGGAGAACUGAGGGGGGCUGCUCCUAGUACGAGAGGACCGGAGUGGACGCAUCACUGGUGUUCGGGUUGUCAUGCCAAUGGCACUGCCCGGUAGCUAAAUGCGGAAGAGAUAAGUGCUGAAAGCAUCUAAGCACGAAACUUGCCCCGA
rnacentral:rRNA from 2 species